AACGAAGCCCCCCCACACACAAAAAAGCAAAAGCAUCAUCACAAUAAUGGCCCGCGCGUGCGUGUUCCUCGUGGUGCUCCUCCUGGCCGCCGUCGCGGUGGCGCCGUUUGCGGGGGCUGCGCGCGUGGAUGUCGUGGAGGGCAGGUCCAUGGCGUCCGCCGACGCGCCUGAGGCGGCGGCUGACGCGCCCGCUCCUGGUCCCGACUCCGCCUCAUCUCCGGACUCGUCGUCGGAGGCGCCCUCCAGCAGCAGCUCAUCCGACUAGCCGCGCACAACGCAGUUCUUGUCAUGAUCUAUCUAGCAAAUAAAAAAGAUCAUGUCUCAUUUGAUUAUCUGGAAUAACUAAUAGUAUAUAUGCUGUGCCCCGGAUGAUAUUUAAAUAUGUGCAUGAAAUGCGUGCGGCAAACGCAUGGAAUGUGCUUGCCGCCUAGCUAAUUGUUGUUGUUUCUUUUUUCUUCUUUACUUUUCUUCAUAUCUGUCUCUCUCUCUCGGUUGUUUAAUUUUUCUUCAUGCAUGUAAUAUAAUAAUGUGAUAUACCCAAUAUAUGCAACGCGCUUUAAUUCUGUGGUGACGAUGACACCAUUUUCUCGGUUUAUUUUAUUUGAACAGACAGAGCAUUGUGUUAUUUUACAGUUCUUGUUCUUGUAUCCAGCAGUUUGCCUUUUGCCGCGCUGCAACGUAGGCCGCGUGCCACAUGCCUCAUUGCCGCCAAGAAACAAAACAAGCAACCAAUGCCAUACACAUGGAUGUCCCAUAUUACUACGUAUAUACAGAGCAAGCAUGUGAUGGCUCGCUGGACCACCCACCUCUCUCUCGAUCGCCUAUCUGACAUG